GCUGUCCCUUGACCACAGAAAGGAAGAUCAAGGUUACACUAGUCUCAAGUUUUUGGGGAAGACAGGAAGGAACACUUUUUUCUUUUCCAUGUUGGUAGAAGAGUUCCUAGUAAUUUGCCUUAUUUUCUUCCUUUUGGUUAAGAAAGGGUAUCCUGCAUUACUCUAUGUAAAACACUUUAUAGGCACUUCUUAGGAAAUCAUUCCUAGUGCCACUGAUUUCUACAUUCAACUAACCAUCCACGGUAUCGCAAGCUUACCUAGGAGAGAGAUCAAAGAAUAAAAUUUGAACA
rnacentral:lncRNA from 1 species